UGGGGAAUAUUGCACAAUGGGGGAAACCCUGAUGCAGCAACGCCGCGUGCGGGAUGACGGCCUUCGGGUUGUAAACCGCUUUCAGCCAUGACGAAGCUUUUGUGACGGUAGUGGCAGAAGAAGCACCGGCUAACUACGUGCCAGCAGCCGCGGUGAUACGUAGGGUGCGAGCGUUGUCCGGAAUUAUUGGGCGUAAAGAGCUUGUAGGCGGUUUGUCGCGUCGAAAGUGUAAACUCAGUGCUUAACGCUGAGCCUGCUUUCGAUACGGGCUGACUAGAGGAAGGUAGGGGAGAAUGGAAUUCCCGGUGGAGCGGAGGAAUGCGCAGAUAUCGGGAGGAACACCAGUGGCGAAGGCGGUUCUCUGGACCUUUCCUGACGCUGAGAAGCGAAAGCGUGGGUAGCAAACAGG
rnacentral:rRNA from 1 species